rnacentral:rRNA from 1 species
GACGAACGCUGGCGGCGUGCUUAAUACAUGCAAGUCAACGACUUUUAGAGUAGCAAUAUUUUAAAAGGAGUGGCGCACGGGUGAGUAACACGUAGGUAGUCUGCCUUCAGGACUGACACAACUCGUCGAAAGACGGGCUAAUAUCAGAUAAUGCAGCGGCUCCGCAUGGAGACAGUUGUUAAAGUACAAGCGCCUGAAGAUGAGCCUGCGGUCCAUUAGCUAGUUGGUAGAGUAACAGCCUACCAAGGCAACGAUGGAUAGCUGGUCUGAGAGGGUGAUCAGCCACACGUAGGAACUGAGACACGGUCCUGACUCCGUACGGGAGGCAGC